rnacentral:rRNA from 1 species
AGAGCGAACGCUGGCGGCAGGCCUAACACAUGCAAGUCGGACGGACUCUUCGGAGUUAGUGGCGGACGGGUGAGUAACACGUGGGAACGUGCCUUUAGGUUCGGAAUAGCUCCUGGAAACGGGUGGUAAUGCCGAAUGUGCCCUUCGGGGGAAAGAUUUAUCGCCUUUAGAGCGGCCCGCGUCUGAUUAGCUAGUUGGUGAGGUAAAGGCUCACCAAGGCUACGAUCAGUAGCUGGUCUGAGAGGAUGACCAGCCACAUUGGGACUGAGACACGGCCAAACUCCUACGGGAGGCAGCAGUGGGAAUCUUGCGCAAUGGGCGAAAGCCUGACGCAGCCAUGCGCGUGAAUGAUGAAGGUCUUAGGAUUGUAAAAUUCUUCAGUAGGACGAUAAUGACGGUACUACAGAAGAAGCCCGGCUAACUUCGUGCCAGCAGCCGC